GACGAACGCUGGCGGUGUGCUUCACACAUGCAAGUCGAACGAGGUAGCAAUACCUAGUGGCGGACGGGUGAGUAACGCGUGGGAAUCUGCCUUUAGAUGGGGGAUAACGAGCCGAAAGGUUCGCUAAUACCGCAUAGGUCGCAAGAUUAAAGGAGUAAUCCGUCUAGAGAUGAGCCCGCGUCCGAUUAGCUAGUUGGUAGGGUAAAGGCCUACCAAGGCGACGAUCGGUAGCUGGUCUGAGAGGAUGAUCAGCCACAAUGGGACUGAGACACGGCCCAUACUCCUACGGGAGGCAGCAGUGGGGAAUUUUACGCAAUGGGCGAAAGCCUGACGUAGCGACACCGCGUGAGCGAAGAAGCCCUUUGGGUGUAAAGCUCUGUCGGCUGGAACGAAAAAAUAGACGGUACCAGCAAAGGAAGCAUCGGCUAACUACGUGCCAGCAGCCGCGGUAAGUCGUGUGACA
rnacentral:rRNA from 1 species